rnacentral:rRNA from 1 species
GACGAACGCUGGCGGCGUGCUUAACACAUGCAAGUCGAACGGAAAGGCCCUGCUUUUGUGGGGUGCUCGAGUGGCGAACGGGUGAGUAACACGUGAGUAACCUGCCCUUGACUUUGGGAUAACUUCAGGAAACUGGGGCUAAUACCGGAUAGGAGCUCCUGCUGCAUGGUGGGGGUUGGAAAGUUUCGGCGGUUGGGGAUGGACUCGCGGCUUAUCAGCUUGUUGGUGGGGUAGUGGCUUACCAAGGCUUUGACGGGUAGCCGGCCUGAGAGGGUGACCGGCCACAUUGGGACUGAGAUACGGCCCAGACUCCUACGGGAGGCAGCAGUGGGGAAUAUUGCACAAUGGGCGGAAGCCUGAUGCAGCAACGCCGCGUGCGGGAUGACGGCCUUCGGGUUGUAGACCGCUUUCGCCUGUGACGAAGCGUGAGUGACGGUAAUGGGUAAAGAAGCACCGGCUAACUACGUGCCAGCAGCCGCGGUGAUACGUAGGGUGCGAGCGUUGUCCGGAUUUAUUGGGCGUAAAGGGCUCGUAGGUGGUUGAUCGCGUCGGAAGUGUAAUCUUGGGGCUUAACCCUGAGCGUGCUUUCGAUACGGGUUGACUUGAGGAAGGUAGGGGAGAAUGGAAUUCCUGGUGGAGCGGUGGAAUGCGCAGAUAUCAGGAGGAACACCAGUGGCGAAGGCGGUUCUCUGGGCCUUUCCUGACGCUGAGGAGCGAAAGCGUGGGGAGCGAACAGGCUUAGAUACCCUGGUAGUCCACGCUGUAAACGGUGGGUACUAGGUGUGGGGUCCAUUCCACGGGUUCCGUGCCGUAGCUAACGCUUUAAGUACCCCGCCUGGGGAGUACGGCCGCAAGGCUAAAACUCAAAGGAAUUGACGGGGCCCCGCACAAGCGGCGGAGCAUGCGGAUUAAUUCGAUGCAACGCGUAGAACCUUACCUGGGUUUGACAUGGAUCGGGAGUGCUCAGAGAUGGGUGUGCCUCUUUUGGGGUCGGUUCACAGGUGGUGCAUGGCUGUCGUCAGCUCGUGUCGUGAGAUGUUGGGUUAAGUCCCGCAACGAGCGCAACCCUUGUUCACUGUUGCCAGCACGUUAUGGUGGGGACUCAGUGGAGACCGCCGGGGUCAACUCGGAGGAAGGUGGGGAUGACGUCAAGUCAUCAUGCCCCUUAUGUCCAGGGCUUCACGCAUGCUACAAUGGCUGGUACAGAGAGUGGCGAGCCUGUGAGGGUGAGCGAAUCUCGGAAAGUCGGUCUCAGUUCGGAUUGGGGUCUGCAACUCGACCUCAUGAAGUCGGAGUCGCUAGUAAACGCAGAUCAGCAACGCUGCGGUGAAUACGUUCCCGG